GUGAAUAGAUGAAUGGAUUGUUCAAUGGAUGAGAAAUUUUGAAAAUAUUUACACAUAGCAUAUAUACUUGGUGAUUUAUUCUAUGAUAUGUUUUUUCGUAUUGUACUGAAGUCUAUGGAAUCUUUAGUGGUUUCGUAGCUGAUGGGUCUGUUUUAGAGGAAUGUGAUCUUGGUGAGGUAUUUGUGCUACUUUAUGUCUUCUAGUGCUAACAUGUGCGGAUCAAAUGAAGUUUGGGUUAUGAGUAAGGUCAGAAAUAAUUUCCAGAAGUCUUUGGGUAUAUGUGUUCAACUUAAGAAUUAAGUUGGGUUGACUAGUGAAGUUCCUUUUUAAUAUGAUAUACAUGGUUUGGGCUUAGAUUACGGAUUUUGUGCUUUACUCCAUAUUUAAAUGAUAAUACUUACAUUCUAUCCCAUACAUGUUAAAAUGAAGGUGACCCAUAGAUAACAUGAUAUGGAGAAUGAUUUUGUUUGUACUUGGCAUACAUGAAAUUCUAUCAUUCAAUUAUGAUUGAUACUUGUUGGGCCUAAACCAAACAGUAGGUAAUACGAAGUGGCGACACGAAGGCAGAGAAAUCUCAAGCACAUGUUACUGUGGCUGUCCUAUCAAUGAAUAGUAUCCAUCUUAGGAGAGACGGUUCACCUCCCUUUAUAGUGUUAUAAAGUUACAUUUCCGUAUACCCGUUAUACCCAUACCCAACAACUACAUCCCAGGCAUAUCCCGUACAAGACAGUAACUUGACCCCCACCCAAGAUGUCGCUUUCAAAGUGAGAUUACAUUUCUAACCCUUUCCAAGAUAUCUAUUACAAAAGUGACCCACAACGAUGUGAUUCCAGGACUAUCCUGAUUCCUCAUUUUCCUACUCGUUAGCUUCAUCCGCACCAAGUUCGUCUUCGUGCGUAUCUUGCCUUCGUCAAUCGAGACCUUCCUGACCUCGUGCUCCGGUCAUGGCGUCUCCUCGAAGCCAAGUCGCUGGGAGUUCCGUGGAGGCCUUAACUUUGGGAAUCUUCUCCUACAAGACCAC
rnacentral:lncRNA from 1 species